GACGAACGCUGGCGGCGUGCCUAAUACAUGCAAGUAGAACGCUGAAGAGAGGAGCUUACUCUUCUUGGAUGAGUUGCGAACGGGUGAGUAACGCGUAGGUAACCUGCCUUGUAGCGGGGGAUAACUAUUGGAAGCGAUAGCUAAUACCGCAUAACAAUGGAUGACACAUGUCAUUUAUUUGAAAGGGGCAAUUGCUCCACUACAAGAUGGACCUGCGUUGUAUUAGCUAGUAGGUGAGGUAAUGGCUCACCUAGGCGACGAUACAUAGCCGACCUGAGAGGGUGAUCGGCCAAACUGGGACUGAGACACGGCCCAGACUCCUACGGGAGGCAGCAGUAGGGAAUCUUCGGCAAUAGGGGCAACCCUGACCGAGCAACGCCGCGUGAGUGAAGAAGGUUUUCGGAUCGUAAAGCUCUGUUGUAAGUCAAGAACGGGUGUGAGAGUGGAAAGUUCACAAUGUGACGGUAGCUUACCAGAAAGAGACGGCUAACUACGUG
rnacentral:rRNA from 1 species